rnacentral:rRNA from 1 species
UAAUACAGAGGGUGCGAGCGUUAAUCGGAAUUACUGGGCGUAAAGGGCGCGUAGGCGGUGAGAUGAGUGUGAUGUGAAAGCCCCGGGCUUAACCUGGGAAGUGCAUCGCAAACGAUCUGACUGGAGUAUAUGAGAGGGUGGCGGAAUUUCCGGUGUAGCGGUGAAAUGCGUAGAGAUCGGAAGGAACGUCGAUGGCGAAGGCAGCCACCUGGCAUAAUACUGACGCUGAGGCGCGAAAGCGUGGGUAGCGAACAGGAUUAGAUACCCUGGUAGUCCACGCUGUAAACGAUGAUAACUAGAUGUUUGUAGGGGAACCUAUGGGUAUCGAAGCUAACGCGAUAAGUUAUCCGCCUGGGAAGUACGGCCGCAAGGUUG